AAAGCUGUAAUUUUCAGAUAAAAUUAGGUGGCGUUUUAACAUAAAAAUCUCAGAUGCUGUUUGGCUGUGCUGUUAACUGGAAGUAAUAUUUUUUUUUUUUAAAGUGAUGUGUAAUGACACAUCACAUCACAAUCUAGGGUUUUAUGACCUUGGUACUAUUAAAUAAAUAGACCUCAUGACAACAGAGUUUGAGUUUACACAAUAGAGUUUACACUACUUGUCUGGAGUGGGAGAAUGCAUGACAAAGGCACAGAUAUGCCUUCAUCUUGCUUUGUUAUUACUGUCAAUUUUGGCCAGUACUAGGAAGAAAUUACUGAGGGGGAAAAAACCCUGCUUGCUAAAUAAUUGACUAAAAUGAUACCUCUUUUUUACAGUUGUGACAUCUGCUUAAAAAACCCCGGUGUACAUGAGUAAUAUAGAACACUUUUGUGCAAAAUUCCCUAGAAUCAGCUAGUAAUGGCAUCUGAAAUUUCUCCUCUUCAACAGGGAAGUCCCCACUGUACAAGGUUAGCUUCUUAUUGCAUAUAUCAAAGUCAAUCGAGUUUCCUGUCUAUCAAUUACAUGUUAAAUAUGAUAAUGCCAAGUGUUUCAAGUCCUUAAAACGUCCUUUUUUCUUCUAUCUACUCAACCCCUAUUUCUUACAAGUAACUUUAACGUAAGUUUUCUUUGGAAACGCCUCUGGGAUGUUUGACAAAGCAGACGUGAGUAUGUACAGAGCUCAUCACAACAGCACAGAUGAUUGGUCAUGUGAAAAACAGCAUUACCACGGUGUAGCAGUAAGAGCAUAAGUCAGAAGCAUUCUCUUUCAUGAGAACUAUCUGUAGCACCCUACUCAAGGUUCUGAUCUGUUACUAGAGACAGCACAGCUAAUGUUAUUUCUUAAUGGUGUUUUAAUGAAUUACCUAAUGACUCUCAGCCAUAAGGAUUUCUGGAACAACAGAACAAUGAUCUACCUUCACCCCGUGCUGAGAACUUUAGCUAAAGCCUCAGCAGACAUUAGCAAAGUACACCAAAAUUCAGGUGUUUCCCUGUGCCCUGCAAUAGCAUUUCUGACACUGCCCUAUAUGAAGCUUUUUUUUUAAGCAUCCCUCCUGAAGAGAAGCACUGCCCUGCACUCAGAGGCCAGGGGGAAUCCCAGAGCAAAAAAAAACAAAGACAUUUUGCCAGGUGUUGACACAUUUCUGCUGUGGAUGCUAAUUUGCGUUGAAGUUGGUGAGUUUCAUCAGUGAGUGAACGGCACAAAACAUCACUGGUGGCCUGAGCCUUCUCCCUCUCUGCCAAGGUCUUCUGCAGUCGUAAGAUUUCUCUCUCUUUUUCAUAUGGAGGCUGAUUUAUCAUCUGCUGUAUCUCUCCAUUUUUCUCCUCUAGCUGCUGAUUCAACUUCUGCACUUCCUAAACAGAGGGGGAGGGGAAGUUAUUUAAAAGCAAAACAAACUUAAGAGCCAAAAUAAAUCUCAGACUGACUUCAA